rnacentral:rRNA from 1 species
UGUUCGUUAUUUAGGGCGCAUGGUGGAUGCCUUGGCAUGCUGGGCCGAUGAAGGACGUGUAAGGCUGCGUUAAGCCUCGGGGAGUUGUCAAUAGAGCGUUGAUCCGAGGAUGUCCGAAUGGGGAAACCUGGCACCUGUUAUGGGGUGUUACCCUUCAGUGAAUUCAUAGCUGUUGUGGGGGUUUACGCGGGGAAGUGAAACAUCUCAGUACCCGUAGGAGAAGAAAAUAAAAUAUGAUUCUGCUAGUAGUGGCGAACGAACGUGGAUGAGGCUAAACCGUGUGCAUGUGAUACUUGGUAGGGGUUGUGUGUGCGGUGUUGUGGGCCCCAAUGUGAAUCAGCUACCACUGGUUUGCUUGUGUGUUGUUGUUAGGUGAAGUGGUGUGGAAACGCCGACCGUAGAGGGUGAUAGUCCCGUAGUUGAAGGCUUCAAUGCAUGGGUUGUUGGGUUGCCCGAGUAGCAGCGGGCUCGUGGAAUCUGCUGUGAAUCUGCCGGGACCACCCGGUAAGCCUAAAUACUCAGUGUGACCGAUAGUGUAUGAGUACCGUGAGGGAAUGGUGAAAAGUACCCCGGGAGGGGAGUGAAAUAGUUCCUGAAACCAUGUGCUUACAAUCCGUCAGAGCACCUGUUGUGUGUGAUGGCGUGCCUUUUGAAGAAUGAGCCUGCGAGUCAGCGGCAUGUCGCGAGGUUAACCCGUGUGGGGUAGCCGUAGGGAAACCGAAUCCUCAUGGGGUGUUUAGUGGCAUGUCCUGGACCCGAAGCGGGGUGAUCUACCCAUGGCCAGUGUGAAGCAGUAGUAAGAUGCUGUGGAGGCGCGAACCCACGUAGGUUGAAAACUGCGGGGAUGAGCUGUGGGUAGGGGUGAAAGGCCAAUCAAACUCCGUGAUAGCUGGUUCUCCCCGAAAUGCAUUUAGGUGCAGCGUCGCAUUAGCUUGGUGGAGGUAGAGCUACUGGUUGGUUGAGCGGGACUACAAUCUUAGCAAUGUCAGCCAAACUCCGAAUGCCACUAAUUGUGUUGUGCGGCAGUGAGACUGUGGGGGAUAAGCUUCAUAGUCGAGAGGGAAACAGCCCAGAUCGCCGGUUAAGGCCCCUAAGGGUGUGCUAAGUGGAAAAGGAUGUGGGAUCGCGAAGACAGCCAGGAGGUUGGCUUAGAAGCAGCCAUCCUUGAAAGAGUGCGUAAUAGCUCACUGGUCGAGUGGUCCUGCGCCGACAAUGUAGUGGGGCUCAAGCACACCGCCGAAGCCGCGGCAA